GCCAGCGUGUAUCAGAUUGGUUAUUGUCGUUUCAAUACAGUUUGCGGUUUUAGUAUUUUUUUAUCAUACUGAAGCUUUCGUUAGAUUUUUUGUGGGAGUUUCAGGAGCAAUUUGUUUAUUUUCUUGCAGCCGCUAUUUUAGUGUUCAGCCCUGGUAUAGUUGAAGAAUAAUAUGGAGAGAAGUCCCCCAUCAGCAUAUCUGAGCUUAGAUGAUUGAGCUAAAGGAAUAUUAUGGAGUUGAAACCUUUUAUCAGGUUGUUUGAGUUUAAGUUCAAAUUCUUCUGUGGUUCAAGGCUUCAAACUGCUCUUUUCUAUCAGGUUUGCAUGAGCUAAAAUAAUAAGAUAUUACGAAGUCUUUCAUCACCUGAUUUGAGUGAUCGUAUAUUAGUAUCACACAAUUUCCCAAA